rnacentral:rRNA from 1 species
GAUGAACGCUGGCGGCGUGCCUAAUACAUGCAAGUCGAGCGAACAGACGAGGAGCUUGCUCCUCUGACGUUAGCGGCGGACGGGGGAGUAACACGUGGAUAACCUACUUAUAAGACUGGGAUAACUUCGGGAAACCGGAGCUAAUACCGGAUAAUAUAUUGAACCGCAUGGUUCAAUAGUGAAAGACGGUUUUGCUGUCACUUAUAGAUGGAUCCGCGCCGCAUUAGCUGGUUGGUAAGGUAACGGCUUACCAAGGCAACGAUGCGUAGCCGACCUGAGAGGGUGAUCGGCCACACUAGAACGGAGACACGGUCCAGACGCCUACGGGAGGCAGCAGUAGGGAAUAUUCCGCAAUGGGCGAAAGCCUGACGGAGCAACGCCGCGUGAGUGAUGAAGGUCUUCGGAUCGUAAAACUCUGUUAUUAGGGAAGAACAAAUGUGUAAGUAACUAUGCACGUCUUGACGGUACCUAAUCAGAAAGCCACGGCUAACUACGUG